UAUGCCCGAUCUCGUCUGAUCUCGGAAGCUAAGCAGGUUUGGGCCUGGUUAGUACUUGGAUGGGAGACCGCCUGGGAAUACCAGGUGCUGUAAGCUU
rnacentral:rRNA from 1 species